rnacentral:rRNA from 1 species
AGUGAACGCUGGCGGUAGGCCUAACACAUGCAAGUCGAACGGCAGCACAGUAAGAGCUUGCUCUUACGGGUGGCGAGUGGCGGACGGGUGAGGAAUACAUCGGAAUCUACUUUUUCGUGGGGGAUAACGUAGGGAAACUUACGCCAAUACCGCAUACGACCUACGGGUGAAAGCAGCGGAUCUUAGGACCUUGCGUGAUUGAAUGAGCCGAUGUCGGAUUAGCUAGUUGGCGGGGUAAAGGCCCACCAAGGCGACGAUCCGUAGCUGGUCUGAGAGGAUGAUCAGCCACACUGGAACUGAGACACGGUCCAGACUCCUACGGGAGGCAGCAGUGGGGAAUAUUGGACAAUGGGCGCAAGCCUGAUCCAGCCAUGCCGCGUGGGUGAAGAAGGCCUUCGGGUUGUAAAGCCCUUUUGUUGGGAAAGAAGAGCAGCAGGUUAAUACCCCGCUGUUCUGACGGUACCCAAAGAAUAAGCACCGGCUAACUUCGUG